GGGUAGUUAGCGAAGUGGCCAAACGCAGCUGACUGUAAAUCAGUUACCUCGUGUUUCGGCGGUUCGAAUCCGUCACUGCCCA
rfam:Mycoplasma penetrans HF-2 DNA, complete genome.